rnacentral:rRNA from 1 species
CGGACGGGUGAGUAACGCGUGGAGAACCUGCCGUACACUGGGGGAUAACACUUAGAAAUAGGUGCUAAUACCGCAUAAGCGCACAGCUUCGCAUGAAGCAGUGUGAAAAACUCCGGUGGUAUACGAUGGAUCCGCGUCUGAUUAGCUGGUUGGCGGGGUAAAGGCCCACCAAGGCGACGAUCAGUAGCCGGCCUGAGAGGGUGAACGGCCACAUUGGGACUGAGACACGGCCCAAACUCCUACGGGAGGCAGCAG